rnacentral:rRNA from 1 species
UCGAGAAUCUUCGGCAAUGGGCGCAAGCCUGACCGAGCGACGCCGCGUGUGGGAUGAAGGCCCUUGGGUUGUAAACCACUGUCAGAGGGGAUGAAGUGCCAGAGAGCCAUCUCUUUGGUUUGACAUAGCCUCAGAGGAAGCACGGGCUAAGUUCGUGCCAGCAGCCGCGGUAAUACGAACUGUGCGAACGUUAUUCGGAAUCACUGGGCUUACAGGGUGCGUAGGCGGCUUGUUAAGUAGGGUGUGAAAGCCCCCGCUCAAGCCGGGAAUUGCAGCCCUGAAAUCCUAGGGCGAGCUAGAGUGAGAUAGGGGUGUGUGGAACUUCCGGUGGAGCGGUGAAAUGUGUUGAUAUCGGAAGGAACGCCGGUGGCGAAAGCGACACACUGGAUCUUGUCUGACGCUGAGGCACGAAAGCCAGGGAGCGAACGGGAU